GACAGAGGGUGCAAACGUUGUUCGGAAUUACUGGGCGUAAAGCGCGUGUAGGCGGCUUGGCAAGUCGGGUGUGAAAGCCCUGGGCUCAACCUAGGAAGUGCACUCGAAACUGCCUCGCUGGAGUGCCGGAGAGGAAAGCGGAAUUCUCGGUGUAGAGGUGAAAUUCGUAGAUAUCGAGAGGAACACCGGUGGCGAAGGCGGCUUUCUGGACGGUUACUGACGCUGAGACGCGAAAGCGUGGGGAGCAAGCAGG
rnacentral:rRNA from 1 species